rnacentral:tRNA from 1 species
AUAGGAGUGGCAGAUUAAUAUGUGUUAGAUUUAGGUUCUAAGUAAUAAAAAGUUCUAUCUUUUUCUCUUGUA